GACGAACGCUGGCGGCGUGCUUAACACAUGCAAGUCGAACGGAAAGGCCCUGCUUUUGUGGGGUGCUCGAGUGGCGAACGGGUGAGUAACACGUGAGUAACCUGCCCUUGACUUUGGGAUAACUUCAGGAAACUGGGGCUAAUACCGGAUAGGAGCUCCUGCUGCAUGGUGGGGGUUGGAAAGUUUCGGCGGUUGGGGCUGGACUCGCGGCUUAUCAGCUUGUUGGUGGGGUAGUGGCUUACCAAGGCUUUGACGGGUAGCCGGCCUGAGAGGGUGACCGGGCACAAUGGGACUGAGAUACGGACCAGACUCGUACGGGAGGCAGCAGGGGGGAAUAUUGCACAAUGGGCGGAAGCCUGAGGCAGAAACGCCGCGUGCGGGAUGACGGCCUUCGGGUUGUAAACCGAUUUCGCAUGUGACGAAGCGUGAGUGACGGUAAUGGGUAAAGAAGCAACGGCUAACUACGUG
rnacentral:rRNA from 1 species